rnacentral:lncRNA from 1 species
UAACAUCACAAACAACUGCAGAUACUUGCUUUACAUGUCUGCCUCGGAAUCCCAUGUAACUUCCUCUAUUUGAAGAUCGCAUCAUAACACGUUUACUGAAGUAAGCUUCUUCGAUUGUUACUAUCGCACUUGCUUAUUGAGGAUAAGCGUCAAAGCAAUUGUGGUUGUGUGGGAGAUCUAGAAGCACAGAUGUGCAUGCAGAAGAAAAUGUGGCAGGGAACAAUGGAUAAUCAAAGUGAUGAUGGGAAGAACUUUCAAAAACUGUAUCUUUGGAAAUUCAUGGUUGGAAGUAUGUCAAAUUGUUGAAAGCUUCAAACCAGUAGUGACAUGGAAGAUUGUGAAGUGGGUGAGGCCAAUCAAAAAGAGAGUUAAG